CACCUGAGGCUGGCCAGGUAGUGGCCACAGAUUUUGGCAGGAGCCUCUGCUAGGUGGACAAGACAUUGUGGGAGAGAGGAGGGCAGGGGAUGGCGGUAACAUCUCCACCUGCUGCAAAUUCAUCUUCUCCCCGCUUUCUUUGGGAGGGCUAUUUUUAACUGGAUCAUCCCAGAGACCCCAGAUGUCAAUGUGCAGCCUCACAGACUGUUGGGUCAGCAUGCACAAGGUGGCCUGAGCAGCGAGGACGUGGGGACAGGCGUUGGAGGAGGACCAAUCUCAUCACAGGAGGCACAGCACCGUGAGGACCACCAAGAGCUCCUGGGGCGCUUGAAGCUUCCCCGUAGCAUUUGGGUGUGCUGAGCUGUGUUAGCUGAUUUCUUCAAGACUCAAGCUUGCUUUUGGGAAGGAGCUUUGCUUUUGCCUGGGCUCUGCCAAGGAGCAGCGCGGUGGAAGAGCAGCUUCCAUCAGAGCCAGAGUGAUGAGAGCUGGAUGCUGCGGAAAAGGAGCAGGCCUCACGGAAAGCAGGCUCAAGGAUCUGCAAUGUCACAGCAUGUGCCACGUCCCCCCUGACCUCUGAGGCACUUUCAAUACCUCGUGAGCUGAAGUCAGCAGCCAUCUCAGCCUAAAACAUUACCAUCAGCUCUGUUGCAGUAGCAUCAGAAAGACCCAAAGAGGAUCAAGGCCCCAUUGUGCUCAGAUCUGCAUAAAUACCCAGUGAGAGACAGCUCCUGCCCUCAUGAGGUUACAGAAUGAAAGGGAAGGCAGCCAGAGUGAAGGCAAGUGGGAGACAUGGAAGUGGUGUUGCUAGUCACAUAGCAUGUUCAUCUCUUGUUCUCCCUUUCCCCCAAAAAUUAAAGUAAAAUAAGUU